rfam:Caprimulgus carolinensis contig16491, whole genome shotgun sequence.
GGGGGCUGGGGAAGGGCUGCUGGGCGGUGGGGCCACCGGGCCCAGCCUUGUACCAGCCAGUCCCACCCGUGCCCCAGAUCAACUCUGAGGUGGGCUCCGUGCUGGGUUCCCCUGUGCAGUACCAGGUGUGAGCAUCCACGCAGCGUUCUGAUGGUCAUGUAUGAUACUGCACACAGCG